UACGUAGGGGGCAAGCGUUGUCCGGAUUUAUUGGGCGUAAAGAGCGUGUAGGCGGUCAGGUAGGUCCGUUGUGAAAACUCGAGGCUCAACCUCGAGACGCCGAUGGAAACCAUCUGACUAGAGUCCGGAAGAGGAGAGUGGAAUUCCUGGUGUAGCGGUGAAAUGCGCAGAUAUCAGGAAGAACACCCGUGGCUAAGGCGGCUCUCUAGUACGGUACUGACGCUGGAGACGCGGAAAGCGUGGGGAGCAACAGG
rnacentral:rRNA from 1 species